GAGGCGGAGGUUGCAGUAAGCCAAGAUCGCACGACUGCACUCCAGCCUGGGUAACAGAAUGAGAUUCCUUCUCAAAAAAAAAAAAAAAAAAAGCAUAUGUAAAUAAAGCCCUGGAUCAUACCGAUGACCUUCAAACUGGGUUCCUUUGAGCCUCCUGGAGGCCUGCAGUGGAAUACUCAUAGCUAAGGAGAGUGCAAACAAGGCUCUGCCCCUUCUCUUCUCUUGAGUGAUUUAUUGUAUAUGGAUCUUGAUGUCUUUGCUUAGGGAAACAGGAUGAGGUAAGGCACCAGAAUGAAGACUCCUGGCCGUGUGUGUUCUCCCUAUAGCCCAUUAGUCUAAAUGGGGACCCGGGAGAGCAGGGGCCUCAACCUCCCAAAUGUUCCCAAGUGUCACCUGCUGUUGUCUUUUUGCCAGGUGAAUCACAAGCCUUUGCGAACAGCCUGAGCCUUCAGCCCUCACAGAUGCCCGGCCUCAUAGCUGAAGUUGCCUGAAUGAUCCUCCUGUUGCAUGUAAUCCACUGGCCUCCCUGAGCAUGUCCAUUGACAGUGAGGUCCCACCCCUCAUCUCUCCUUGCCAAAUAGUUUGUGCCUUGUCUUGAAGGGGGUUGCUCCCCUUGCCAACCUCACACUGCUAUGAUUGCCAACUCCAGCGGUCCCAUGUCAGCCUUCUGAUGAUCCCACUCCACCCCAUCUCAGCUUAUUUAAUUCCUAAUUAAAUCAGACUGUUGGAGCCUGUUGUCUAGAAUACUUUCCUGACCAAGACUGAAGGAUGGGCUGGAGGUUUUCAACUUUGCUACCCAAAAUAAAUUGCUGUUUCCAGAUGAUGUGGAUGCUGGUCUGGAAACCAGUUAUGUGUGACUUGUCAUUCUUCUCAGCUUCCAUUUUCCAGCCCUGGAUCCUGUAUCUAAGCCUAUGCCUUCCCCAGUUAAGACUCAUUGGUGGAACUGGUGCAUUGGCUCACCUGGCUCAUGCCUACAGUACCAGCUGCUUGGGAGAAUGAGAAGGAUUGCUUGAGCCCAGGAGAUCAAGGCUGCAGUGAGCCGUCAGACUCCAUUAAAAAGAGUGACUGGUGCUGGGAACAGUUUGGGUACCAGAGAGAACGAUGUGAGGGUCUAAUUCAGUAGUGUCCUUACCAGUACCUCCCUGAAAUACCAAAUCGGCAGACGCCCAAGUCCCUCACAUAAAAUGUAGUACUUGCAUAUAACCUGUGUACUUUAAAUCAUCUCUACAUUACUUGUAAUACCUAAUCAAAUGCAAAUCUUACGUAAAUAGUUUACACUAUUAUUGUUUAGGGAAUGAGAAGUCUAUACAUGUCCAGUACAACUAUUUUCCCAAUAUCCAGUUGGUUGAAUCCAUGGAUGCAGAACCCAUAGAUGGGACAGGGACUUAAUAUUGUGAAGUGUCAAUUUAAGGAGAGCAGUGCACCUGAACUCAGGCCCCAGGCCUCCAUCAGCAGUGUUUCCCUAAAUAAGCACACAUCUCGUAGCUUUUUUCAAUUCCCAUUUAUUUUUGGCUCUUGGGGCGAUGUCAUCUUUUCAAUAUGAAAAAAAGCAACAAGUUCAACACAAAAUAGAAAUCUCAAAUGUAGGAAAGAACAAAACCAAGUGUGUGCGGGGGGAAGCAACAGCAAAAUGAAGAAAUGAGAUGUUGCAAAAAAAGAUGGAGGGUUCCCCACUCCUCUGGGGAUUGACUCAAACACUGAUGUGGCAGUAUACACCAUUCCACAGUCAGGGCUGCUUGUUCUUUUUUGGGGGUAAGAAAAGGUGGGGAUUCAGAGGACGUUUCUGGAGGCUUAGGGACCAAGGCUGGUCUCUUUCCCCCCGCCCCUGCCCCCUUGAUCCCUUUCUCUGAUAAGGGGAAAGGAGUUCGAAUGAGGGAGGUAGAGUUGGAAAGGGAAGGAUUCCACUUGACAGAGUGGGCCAGACCCCUCCAAAGAGUAGAGCUUGGAGGGAGAUUGAAAGUGGAGAUAAUACUGCUGACACCUCCCUUGAAGCUGAGAUGGGAAAUGGACGUACUUGGAAAUUAGUGACUUUAAUAGCCUGGAUUUCCCUCUCCAAAACUUUUAGAAUGGAAAAUCCCAUCCCCUUCCUUAUAUAGUGACUUCUACCCACUACCUUCUACCACUUUCUACUUUGGGCUUAGGAUGGUGGCCGUUAUCUACAUGGGUUUUCAGCACCUGGUUGGUUCUAAAUGGGAUCUGGAUGAGACCCAGCGUCUUGGAAAUUUUUAAGAGGGAAAUAUUAACUGGACAGAUGGAAGGAAUGGGCAUCAGAAGGAAAUACAGGGUCACCAGAAUGGCAGAAACCCAGGUUUCCCAGAGUGGAAAGAGAGAGGAGACAUUCAACAAACAAGUAUUUAUUGAGCGCCUAUUAUGUGCCAGGCACUGUUCUAGACCCCCCCCAGAA